CGACCGCUGCUUUUUGCAGCUGAGGCCACACGGACAGCCGGGUCGAACGCCGA
ncrna:unclassified sequences Streptococcus sRNA SpF59 (ldcC RNA)